AACGAACGCUGGCGGCAUGCCUAACACAUGCAAGUCGAACGAGACCUUCGGGUCUAGUGGCGCACGGGUGCGUAACGCGUGGGAACCUGCCCUUAGGUUCGGAAUAACUCCCCGAAAGGGGUGCUAAUACCGGAUAAUGUCUUCGGACCAAAGAUUUAUCGCCUUUGGAUGGGCCCGCGUUGGAUUAGCUAGUUGGUAGGGUAAAAGCCUACCAAGGCGACGAUCCAUAGCUGGUCUGAGAGGAUGACCAGCCACACUGGGGCUGAGACACGGCCCAGACUCCUACGGGAGGCAGCAGUGGGGAAUAUUGGACAAUGGGCGAAAGCCUGAUCCAGCAAUGCCGCGUGAGUGAUGAAGGCCUUAGGGUUGUAAAGCUCUUUUACCCGGGAUGAUAAUGACAGUACCGGGAGAAUAAGCUCCGGCUAACUCCGUG
rnacentral:rRNA from 1 species